rnacentral:tRNA from 2 species
GCCCUGGUGGCGGAAUUGGUAGACGCGCCAGCUUCAGGUGCUGGUAUUGGUAACGAUGUGAUGGUUCGAGUCCAUUCCAGGGCACCA